GAAGAGCACUGUCCUGAGUGGGGGCUUAUGAGAGACAGGAUGUUUGGACCCUCGCUGUGUUUUCUUUAACACGUCUCAAUGAGCACGUAUUGCUUUUAUAAUAAAAAAAAAUACAUCUUUUAAAAAAUUAUCUUUAAUUUUUAGAAGUUUACACUCAUUUGUGAUUGCUCCUGGAAAUGAGACUAUGAGGUGUGGAAACAGUUCAAUUCAGCAAGACUAUCAACCAAAGGUCCCCCGAGUCUGGUUUGAAUCAGGGAACCCAAGAAGAUGAGAUUGACAGAAAGAAUCACGCAAAUGAGCCAUAUUUGCUGGAAGCAAUCCAUCUGUGGCAACAGAGAAAAAAAGACUGGAAAUACACAUGUUGACUCAACAGGCCCUUUAUGAACUGUGGGGAUCCGUGAUGCAGCCGGGAUGCCAGCCCUGCACCUGGUUCCAGGAACACGCCCACUAGUGGAGGUGAUCAAAUCGGCCAUGGUUAUUGUUCGCCAGUCAGGCAUGUCCCAGGCCACUAUAGCUACAAUCAUGAACAGGAAUAAAAUGACAAAAGUUGUUCAAGGAUCUUUUUCAAUGAAGGCAACGAGACUAACAAAAAUAUGAGGAGGGCCUGUAUCAGACAUGGGGAAACUUCUGCUGACCGGGAACGAAGCCCAGACACAGACGUGUAGCCCUCUCUGCACCAUGGCCAUCCCCGGCAAAGCAAAACGUUUGUUUGUGGUGUUGAAAGAAAAAGCUAGGCCCAACGACAAUGCUGAAUUUACUGCUAGCCCUGGAUGGUGUAAAUGAUUCAAGAGUUGUUGUUCGUUACCUAAUGGGAAAGUGAGCGGUGAGCCUGUGAGUGCUGAUGUGAAAGCAGUUGAAGAAUUUUUGGAAACUCUAGAUAAACUGAUUGUGGAGGAAAAUUACUUUCCACAGCAAAUACUCAACAUGGAUGAAACCUCCCUAUUCUGGAAACCGACGCCUAAAAGGACUUCCAUCCAUAAGGAGGCCAACAGAAUGCCAGGUUUCAAGGCUUGUAAGAACAAGAUAACAGUUUGCUUGGGGGCAGUGUCGCAGGCUACACGUUGAAACCCUUUGUGCUCUGGCACAGGCAGAAACCCAGGGCCUUCAAGCGUUUCCUAAGGACACGCUGUCAGUGCUGCAGGAGCAAUAAGAAGGCAUGAGCGGCCCAGCUCCUUUUCCCAGGUGCCCUCUGGAAUUGCUAUGCCAGCAAAACGGUGAAGUACUGUUUGGGAAAGAAUACACUUUUGAAGAUUCUGCUUAUUGUUGAUAAUGCUCCUGGACAUCCUCAGUUUAUUGGUGAUCUUCACCCCAAUAUCAGAGUGGUUUCUCUCUCUCCGAUGGAUCGUGGAGUUAGAGUAGCUUUUGAGGCCUACUCCAUGAAGAGGACCUUUGCCUGAAACUGAGGAAAACGCUGUGAAGACCCUAAUCCAGUUCUGGAAGGGCUACAACAUCUAUGACUCCGUCCUGAAUCUUGCCGGGGCUUGGGGUGAUGUCACCAAGGAGUGCCUGAACGGCAUCUGGAAGAAGACACUCCAGAGGUUCGUUCAUGAAUGCAAAGGGCUUGCUAAGGAUAAGAGGUAGCAAAAAUCAACCAGGCUGUGCUGAGAUGGCCAACAACCUUUCCCUGGAUGUGUGUGAGGACCACAUGGAGGAGGUCCUAGAGGGGGUUCCUGAGGAACUGAAUAAUGAGACGUGGUCAGAGCUGGAACAGCAACACGUAGCUGGAGAGGAGGCAAGAGGAAAGGAAACUGCAGGAAAAGGAAGAACGCUCAAGAAAAUUCACAGGGAAGGGUUCAGCAGAAGCUUUUACAGAUCUCAACAAGCUCCUUAAAAAAUUUGUAAACAUGGACCCCAAUACCGAAAGGCUUUCAUUCAUAUGUUCACAGUGCAUUAUCUGCUGAUAAGCAAAUCUGUGAUGAAAGAAACAAACCCACCAAGCAAACCACCAUGGACGUAUUUCUGAAAAGAGGGACAGCUCCUCAGGAAGAGCCUCAGGCAGCUCCUUCAGGAGGGAUUCCAGAAGAAGGCCUUGUUAUCCUGGGAGACGACAGCUCCCUGCGUGUCCCUGCCCCUGCAGACUUUCCAGUGGGUCGAGAUGUGGAGUGGAAGUCAGCCUGCGCUAAUGUGUAUGCUCGUGUCUUAGUUUUCAACAAAAGGUAUAAAAGUUAAAAAAAAAAUUUUUAAUAGAAAAAAGCAAAUAGAGUAAGGAUAUAAAAAAUAAUUUGUACCGCUGUACAGUGUGUGUUUGAAGCUAAGUGUCAUUACAAAAGUCGAAAAGUUAAAAAUGUUCAAGUUUAUAAAGUAAAAACGUUACAGUAAGCUAAGGUUAGUUAUUAUCAAAGAAAAAUAUGUUUUAUAAAUUUAGUGGCACCUAAGAGCACAGUGUUUAUAAAGUUUACAGCCGUGUACCGGAACGUCCCAGGCCGUCACAUUCCUUCACCACUCGCUCACUCACUGACUCACUCAAAGCAACUUCCAGUCCUGCAAGCUCCAUUCAUGGUGAUCAAAUCAGCCGGCGGCUCGAGACUUGAACCCCACCCACCUCGGACUGCAGCAUCUGGAUGGCGUGGGCCCUGGCCUUCCUGGUGCCACUGUCCCCGCCUUCAGCUCUGUGCUGACCACCGUCCUCAAGAUGGGAAGCCUCCCGCCCAUCUCACAGCACACCCCCCAGACAAGUUCCCCACCCCAGGCCACUGUCUCAGUAAUGAUCUCCUCUGGGGAGGGACAUUUCAGGUUAGGAUGUGUUUUUUUUAUAUACGUCUGUAUUGUUUGACCGACGUACAGGAUUGGCACCCAGAAAAUUACCUUUCACCGUUUUCCUAUUAGACUGUGUAUUUUUUUUAAUGUCCAAACUUCAUAGAAUGAAUGUCUCUCCCACUGCAACUUCUCUGUAUAAAGUUUAUAUAGGAAACAUUUAUAUUUUAUGUUCCCAAACUCAGUACAACAGAUUCAACAAAACCAUCUAUGGGCAAUGUCUUGAGACUCUUCUUACAUUGUGUCCCAUUCCAGACCUAGUCAAAUGUUAGAAUCCCACACGGGCAGCUGGGAAAGCAGAACAAACGUUCCCGAGGAGGAUGUGAAAGGUGUUACUGUAGACCAAGCAACGUUUUGCAACAGCCGCGCUAACCUGCAUUCAGUACCACACUGUAAACGUGUGUAGCCUAACAGCACAGGUUGUUCCUGAUGUGCAGGUAUUUUCCCGCGCCUUAGUUGCGUUUAAAAAUUUGAAUGUUUUUCAAUGUUGGGGUUGAUGUGUCAUGUGACAUAAAUUUUUCCUAUUCAAAAUAACAGGAACUUAUGUAUCAGUUGGUAUGCUUCCACAGGUCAUCCCAUUUUUAGGUGCAGGUUACUGACAGUAGGAAGGGGUUUUGUUGUUGUUUGUUUCCCAACAAGUAGGUGUUUUGUUAUCAGGGGAAACUUGUACGAACUCCGAUUCAACUAAUGUAAAAGUAAUUGGGGAACAAAAGGAAACUGUAUGAGAAAGAUCCUUGGAACUUUCAUGGGACAACCAAGUCCCAAGAAGGGUCCUGAGGCAGUCAGGCUUUGGGAGCAGCACAAACCUGGGAGUCGGGCCACAUCAGGGCUUCCUUCCGAUACCUGUGCUCAGAUUGGCUCUCCAUAGGCUCUAUUUCUUUCUCUUGAUGCAACCAGCUCUGUCCACAGCUCUUGAGUUUUACAUUCUAUCAUUUUAGGCAUCAGAAGGAGGCUGAGCUCAUGCCUAUCUGUCCCAAAAAUCCAGGGAAGGAAUUCAUUGGUUCAGCUUGGGUCAGGUGCCACCCCUGACCCAAUCAACUGUAGUUAAGCGAAGCACCUAUGGAAAUCAUAACUGAUACAGAGGAGUCAGGUCACGUAAGGAAUGAGGGUUGCUGUGUAGCUAAUCCCAUGGACAUCUAUGGCAAGCCUUGAAGAAAGGAAAAAGAAAUCAGGAGCAAAGACUGAGUGAGUCCACCUCUAGCCUUCAGCUAGCUUUUCAACUCAUAAGCCGUGUGACCCUGGGUAAGUCAUGCUUUAAAAUGGGGCUAAUAAUUCCUCCUUGUUAGGCCAUGUAGUGUAAAACUACUGUUGAGAACACAGUGGUUGUUAGAGAAGAGGUAGAGUGAGUCUAGUGGGUACAAGUAUAGAGUCUAGAGUGGUGGUUCUCAAUGGAGGGUGAUUUGCCCCCCAGGGGACACCUGGCAAUGUCUGGAGACAUUUUUGGUUGUCAAAUCUAGAAGGGGUAUGCUACUGGCCACUAUAGGACAGAAGACAGGGCUGCUGUUAAACAUCCUGCAAUGUACAGGACAGCCCUAGAUAUCAAUAGCGCUGAGGAUGAGAAACCCUGCUCUAGAGCCAGGUUACCUGACUUCUACUUAGAGCUCCACCAUUUCAAACUUUGGUGUUACUUCACUUUUUUGCCUCAGUUUUCCCAUCUGGAAAAUGGGACUAAUACUAGUACCUAUCUCCUAAGGCUGUAGUGAGACUCAAACGGAUUAAUACAUGCAAAGUGCUUAGGCCUCUGCCUGGUACAUAGUAAGUACUUGCUAAAUAGUAAGCUGUUGUCUUCCUCAAACCUGACUGAGCACCAGAAUCACCUCGAGACCCUGUUUAAUAACAGAUCCCCCAGCCCCUGCCUUAGCUGUGCUGGAUCUGAAUGUUUGGAAUUUGGAAUCCAGGAAUCGGUGGGGUGUUUUGAGUUCCCUGGCUGAUUUUGAUGAUCAACCAAGUAUGGGGGUGAUGGCCCUGAAGCACUUGCUCUGCAGAGCAUGGCCUUCAGAUCAGCAGCGUCACCAGCACUUCAGAACAGCAUUGCCCAAUCUCCAGCGUGCACACACACCACCUAGGGCCUUGUUACAAUGCAGGUUCUAAUUCAGGAGGUGGGGGAGGGGCGGGCGCCGCGGGGGCGGGGCUGAGGUUCUGCAUCCUUCACCCCAAAAGAGGCCCAUGCUGCUGUCCUCUGACCACACUGAGUCACAACGCCCCAGAGCACUUUACACAGGCACAUUUUAGUUUCCAAGCCCUCAGCAGUGUCAGUGGACCCGGAGCCUGCUGCAUGCCAAAGGGUUGAACUGAAAUAGUCGCCACUGUUUUUCCUGUUCAAAAGCCAAAAGCAAAGUGAGGAAAAGAUACUGCAUGUGAACUCCUCAGGUGGUCUCUAUCUCCUGAGGGCCCCCUUGCCUAAGCAUCACAGGUAACCCCAUUCAUCUCUUCACCCCCAAGAAAAGGUCGUCCCCUCACUCCUCCCCUGGCUGGGAAAGUGUCUACCUGUUCCCAGAGUAAAGUACUUUCAGAGGCUCUUGGAGACCCAUUGGCUGUAGGUAACCUGGAGGUCAUCUUGUUUACAAGCGGAUGUUAGUGGUGUUCCUUUUCGUGGCUGUUAUCUCUUGAAGCAUUGUUCUCGAGCUGUCUGUCAGGCCUCACCAGACUCCAGGAUUCUGUGUUCUUACAGAGUCAGAGAUGGGACCUAAAGUUCAUUUCAUUCAGGGUUUUUUUAAAGCGUGUUUCCAUGCCUCUGAUGGUGCAAUGAUGCAGACAGGAGAUGGACAACAUUUAUGUUCUUGAUUAUGUGUUUGUAUUAAUGUGUUCUGUUCAUGGCAGCUUAGAAUGGCAUUGUAAUAUUUCCUUUUAAAAUCAAUUUAAUUUUAAAAUACUGACUUGAUGAGAAAACUAAUAGAGGUAUUCCACCUAUAUUAUUGAGAAAUGACUGACGUUUCAAGCAUGCUGUUUGAGUUCAAUUUCCUCACUUUUUAGAAGGAGAAACUAAGCUAGAGAGCCCUGUGCUUCGAUUUUCUUAUCCUUGAAAUGAAGAUAAUAAUCCCUGCUCUGCAAGGAUGUAGUGAGAAUGAAAUUAAACAGUGCUUUUAAAGCACUUAGCAUAAGGCCUGGCCUGUCAUGCAGACCUAAGAAAUACUAGCUCUUCACAUGAUCUGUGUUAGAGGAGGAACCUUAUUACCGUAAUCACUGUGAGUCUUUCUGAGCCUCAGGCUCCCCGUCUAUACAAUGAAGGUAUCAGAUCAGAGGGCUAAGCAUCUCUGACCAUCCAGCUCCCUCAUCCUCUAACAUGCUAGAGAAAAAUAUCUAAUAGAAAGCUGUGAGAUGUUGGGGUAAAUCUUCCCUUUUUAGUGGGCCUCAUUUAUCCAUCUGUAAAAUGGGAGAACUGAAAACCUCUGUAUAACAAUCCCUCCAACAAGUCGACCUACUUAAACACCAUGGUCUCCACGUUAAAAGUCUGCUGUUGCGUUUGGUGUGCCCUUCAUUGGCACAUUUGGGUGCUAGAGUUUUUUAAUCAAGCAUAAGAAAAACUGCUUUAAAAGUCUGCAUUAAAAGGGAGCUUAGUAAUUGUUUUCAAAUACUUUCUUAUCCCCUGAAUCCUGUGAAUGAACUCACAAAAGGAACAUAAAGAUAUUGGCUGUUAUUUGUUGUCGUUGCUGCUGGGUUUUGGGUUUUGGUUUUUACAGGAAUUCCUAGUUCCCACCAACUUGUCACAGGGUUCUGCGGGAGCUUAUGAAUUUCUGUUAACAUAGAAGCUGCCUUCUUUCGGAUAGGUCCCAGUCAGAAUCGACCUCAUCGGGCAACGGGGCCCCAUCCUAGUCAUUAUUUCUGCCAGGGACCUGAAUGAAGCUCUAAACAGCUCCAGUGUCUCAAUUUGAAAAAGAAGAGUUUGUAGGAAGCCCUCUAAGGCAUUUUCAGUUUGGAUGGUGAUUCUGGGUGGUAUCCCCUUGGAAAUUUCUAGGCUCUCCACAGUCUACUCAGAAAGAGAUAGUAUAAAAAUGUGAUUUUUCUCUCACUGGCCACCCUGAGUUAUUUGAGCAGAAACUUUGGCCAGGAAAGGGUGCAUGGCUCAGUCUAAAGUACUCAUGUCCAGGUGGUGAGGGCCCAGGGUGGACACAUUUCCAAAUUUCAAAGAAGCCAGAAAUCUUGAUUUUGUGCAUGUGUAAACAACUUUGCCAAUUUUUAAAUAGUGGCUGCUAGUUUAGAUCGUUUUUUUCAUUCAAAUUGUGUGGCCUUCAGGUGGCCAAGCCAAUUUGCAACCAGAAUCUAGAUUUCAUUCCCAAGGUGUUUCUGAGACUGUUUGAACCUGACUCCUCUCUCUCUCUCUCUCUCUCUCUCUCUCUCUCUCUCUCUCUCUCUCUCUCUCUCUCUCGCACGUGCACAAACUCACACUCUUUACUUAAAGAAAAUGCAGUUGCUUAAUAAAAGUUUUCUCUGUAUCUUUCUGGCUUUAUAUUUCUUUCUUGGAAGAUUUUCCGUGUCCCUUUGUGGCUGUUCAGCAAAAUGGCUUCAAGUCUGUAAAUGGCAAGAGUGGAAUUGCUUAUAGUGUGAGGUUGGAAUAAGCACUAAUGAAUGAGAGGUUGAGGGGAACGUAUUUUUAAGCUCGAUAUAACAAACAACUUUCUUAUACUGGGUGAGAAGGGGAUGGUGAGUGCCUUAUCUCUGAAGAUACUUAAGCAGAGGCUGGACAACCCCUUAUCAAGGAAGGAAUAAUUCUUCUAUAUGGCCUAUGAGAAGUUUCUUCCAAGUCUGAGAGUCAGUUUGUUUUCCUAAUAAGUCAAUAAAUUAAAUAUUGGUUAUUAAAUUAUUGAAUUUAAAGGAUAAUGUUUUCAUAGCUGCUGUCCAGUGCAUUGUAAACAGUAGAUUAUAGAAGUAGUGACACACAUGUUUGCCCUGCAAAUAUUUACUUUGCAUGCAGUAAUAUACUACCAAGUCCUCCCUCCCAUUUCUGUGCUAUUUUUGUUGUAUAUUUAGUUUUAUAUGUGCUAUAAGCCCAUAAUACCCUGCUAUUAUUUUUGCUUUAAACCAGAGGUUGUCAAACUUUUUCUUA